rnacentral:rRNA from 1 species
UACGAAGGGGGCUAGCGUUGCUCGGAAUCACUGGGCGUAAAGCGCACGUAGGCGGAUCUUUAAGUCAGAGGUGAAAUCCCAAGGCUCAACCUUGGAACUGCCUUCGAUACUGGGGAUCUCGAGUCCGGAAGAGGUGAGUGGAACUGCGAGUGUAGAGGUGAAAUUCGUAGAUAUUCGCAAGAACACCAGUGGCGAAGGCGGCUCACUGGUCCGGUACUGACGCUGAGGUGCGAAAGCGUGGGGAGCAAACAGG